UGGCCAAAAGUAGAAAGGAGAUUAGAAAGAGUUUCUCAGCUUCUUCAUUAGAGUCAUCAUUGGUUAAUUGAGAACUGAUAUGAAUAUGUGUUUGAGUUUGACAUGAUUCUAUACUCAUGAACAUAUUCAGGGUGCAAGGAUGAUCGAAGGAUUGAAUUGCAUGGUAAUUUACCACUGAAGGAUAUAUUUGAUAUUUUCAUCAAAUUUUAUAACUUUUAGGUAGUGAUG
rnacentral:lncRNA from 1 species